GACGAACGCUGGCGGCGCGCUUAACACAUGCAAGUCGAGCGAGAACCGGGGGCUUCGGCCCCGGGGACAGCGGCGAACGGGUGAGUAACACGUGGGUAACCUGCCCUCGGCACCGGGAUAGCCCGGGGAAACUCGGAUUAAUACCGGAUGGCCCCCUCCGACCUUCGGGUCGGCGUGGGAAAGGUAGCUUCGGCUUCCGGCCGAUGAUGGGCCCGCGGCGGAUUAGCUUGUUGGUGGGGGUAACGGCCCACCAAGGCUCCGAUCCGUAGCUGGUCUGAGAGGACGAUCAGCCACCACUGGGACUGAGACACGGCCCACGACUCCUACGGGAGGCAGCAGUGGGGAAUCUUGCGCAAUGGGCGAAAGCCUGACGCAGCGACGCCGCGUGAGGGAAGAAGGCCUU
rnacentral:rRNA from 1 species